rnacentral:rRNA from 1 species
AGAGUUUGAUCCUGGCUCAGGAUGAACGCUAGCGGGAGGCCUAACACAUGCAAGCCGAGCGGUAUAGAAUCUUCGGAUUUUAGAGAGCGGCGUACGGGUGCGGAACACGUGUGCAACCUACCUUUAUCUGGAGGAUAGCCUUUCGAAAGGAAGAUUAAUACUCCAUAAUAUAUUGAUUGGCAUCAAUUAAUAUUGAAAGCUCCGGCGGAUAGAGAUGGGCACGCGCAAGAUUAGUUAGUUGGUGAGGUAACGGCUCACCAAGACGAUGAUCUUUAGGGGGCCUGAGAGGGUGAUCCCCCACACUGGUACUGAGACACGGACCAGACUCCUACGGGAGGCAGCAGUGAGGAAUAUUGGACAAUGGGUGCAAGCCUGAUCCAGCCAUCCCGCGUGAAGGACGACUGCCUAUGGGUUGUAAACUUCUUUUGUAUAGGGAUAAACCUCUCCUCGUGAGGAGAGCUGAAGGUACUAUACGAAUAAGCACCGGCUAACUCCGUG